AACGAACGCUGGCGGCAGGCUUAACACAUGCAAGUCGAGCGCCCCGCAAGGGGAGCGGCAGACGGGUGAGUAACGCGUGGGAACGUACCUUUUGGUUCGGAACAACUCCGGGAAACUGGAGCUAAUACCGGAUAAGCCCUAACGGGGAAAGAUUUAUCGCCGAAAGAUCGGCCCGCGUCUGAUUAGCUAGUUGGUGAGGUUACGGCUCACCAAGGCGACGAUCAGUAGCUGGUCUGAGAGGAUGAUCAGCCACACUGGGACUGAGACACGGCCCAGACUCCUACGGGAGGCAGCAGUGGGGAAUAUUGGACAAUGGGCGCAAGCCUGAUCCAGCCAUGCCGCGUGAGUGAUGAAGGCCUUAGGGUUGUAAAGCUCUUUUGUCCGGGAAGAUAAUGACUGUACCGGAAGAAUAAGCCCCGGCUAACUUCGUG
rnacentral:rRNA from 1 species